rnacentral:rRNA from 1 species
UACGGAGGGAGCUAGCGUUGUUCGGAAUUACUGGGCGUAAAGCGUACGUAGGCGGUUACUCAAGUCAGAGGUGAAAGCCCGGGGCUCAACCCCGGAACUGCCUUUGAAACUAGGUAGCUAGAAUCUUGGAGAGGUCAGUGGAAUUCCGAGUGUAGAGGUGAAAUUCGUAGAUAUUCGGAAGAACACCAGCGGCGAAGGCGACUGACUGGACAAGUAUUGACGCUGAGGUACGAAAGCGUGGGGAGCAAACAGG